rnacentral:rRNA from 1 species
GAUCCUGGCUCAGGAUGAACGCUAGCGACAGGCUUAACACAUGCAAGUCGAGGGGCAGCAUGAUUUGUAGCAAUACGGAUUGAUGGCGACCGGCGCACGGGUGAAUAACGCGUAUGCAACUUACCUAUCAGAGGGGGAUAGCCCGGCGAAAGUCGGAUUAAUACCCCAUAAAACAGGGGUCCCGCAUGGGAAUAUUUGUUAAAAGAUUCAUCGCUGAUAGAUAGGCAUGCGUU